CGAAAUUAUUAUACGCGGCCGGCGGCUGUACCCCAAAGGUGUAGCAGUGACCACCAUCAAACUGACUGCUGACACUUCACUGUAACAUUGAACAAAAAUCCCAUUUUUAGGUUUUCUUCAAAUCUCCAUUAACGACCUUCAAUCUUGUAAAUCUUCAUUAACGACUUCCCCUGUGUUGAAUCCCUCAAUUGAUCACCAUUUGCAGUUCUCUUUCCUUCAUCAAUGGCUGGAGAAUCAGAAUCUGCUGCUGAACCUAACCCUAACACCCUCACCCCAUCAAAUCCCCCUUCUGCCGACGCCAUUAAUAUUGUACCUCUUCAAACUCAUUCACCACCCACCAAGCUACCUUCUCGACCCAGAAAAACUCGGAAGCUUUCCAAUACUGUUGAUCCCUGUUUACCCAAAACCCAGAUUUCCACCAUCGUACCAAGAAUUGUUUCUCGUUCACUUUCAUACGAAGGUGAGCUCGAAUCCGCCAUUAAUUACCUCAAAUCCUCUGACCCAUUACUCUCUCCAUUAAUUGAAACAUACCCACCUCCCACACUCGAACUUUUUCAACCCCCUUUUCUUGCUUUAACAAAAAGCAUUCUGUUUCAGCAGCUAGCGUAUAAAGCUGGGUCAUCGAUUUACACUCGAUUUAUAUCUCUUUGUGGUGGGGAAUCGAAUGUGGUGCCGGAUAUGGUUUUGGGAUUAACCCCACAACAGCUUCGUCAAAUUGGGGUUUCUGCUAGAAAAGCAAGCUAUUUACAUGACCUAGCAAGGAAGUAUCAAAAUGGGAUUUUGUCGGAUAAGUCGAUUGUGGAUAUGGAUGAUAAAUCGCUUUUUACAAUGCUUACUAUGGUGAAUGGAAUUGGGUCUUGGUCAGUUCAUAUGUUUAUGAUUUUUUCACUUCAUAGGCCGGAUGUGUUGCCGAUACAUGAUCUUGGUAUUAGGAAAGGGGUGAGAAUGUUAUAUGGUCUUGAGGAUCUUCCUAGGCCAUCACAAAUGGAUCAGUUGUGUGAGAAAUGGAAGCCUUAUAGGUCGGUAGCUUCGUGGUAUAUUUGGAGGUUUGUAGAGGCAAAGGGGGCGAAUUCGAAAGGCAAUGUGGUGGGAAAUUCUAAUGUUAGUUUACAGCAGCAGAUAUUGUCAAUGCAGCAGCAGCAACAACAACAACAUCAGCAGUUCUUGGAUCCUAUUAAUGGGAUUCUUAAUGUUGGGAGCUAAGUGAUUUAAGGGUCUAAGGAUGCGAACAACCAAGCUAAAUAAUUUAAGGGGCUAAGGAUGCAAACCAAGCUUAAGUAUGAAUCUGGUGGAAUUUAAGAGCUUGCUAAUUGGAAAAGAGCGGGUCCAAUGAAGACACACUAAGGCAUGUGCAUGGGACAGUAAUUGAAGUUCACAUGAUUGAGUUGAUAGUGGCUGUGAAGGCUUAAUUUUUUGGGAUAGUAAAUUGCUGUAAUGUUAGCCAUAGAUUGUCUACAUCUACUGAAAACUCAAGCUGAGAACAUUGUAAAAAUUCAUUUACUACGUUCAACAACUGAUGUUAAAACUCACGACAUGUUUAAGAUUAUAAGAUUAAAGAGUAUUUUGGUACGCUGUGUA